GCCUGCUUAGCUCAGUGGUAGAGCGCGUCACUUGUAUAUCAUGUGAAUUCAUGAUCUGCAUGACGAGGUCAGUCGUUCAAACCGGCUAGUUGGCA